CCUAAAGAUGGAUCAUUUU
rnacentral:rRNA from 1 species